rnacentral:tRNA from 1 species
GUCGAAAAAGCCAAAGAGCGGCAUUGAUCUUGUAAAUCAAAUACUGAAAUUAUCUUCUUUCGACU